rnacentral:rRNA from 1 species
ACGAUCGCAAGGUUGAAACUCAAAGGAAUUGACGGGGGCCCGCACAAGCAGUGGAGCAUGUGGUUUAAUUCGAUGCAACGCGAAGAACCUUACCUAGGCUUGAAAAGCAAGUGACCGUCUGUGAAAGCAGAUUUCCCGCAAGGGCACUUGUACAGGUGCUGCAUGGCUGUCGUCAGCUCGUGCCGUGAGGUGUUGGGUUAAGUCUCGCAACGAGCGCAACCCCUACCAUUAGUUGCCAUCAGGUUAUGCUGGGCACUCUAAUGGGACUGCCUACGCAAGUAGUGAGGAAGGUGGGGAUGACGUCAAGUCAGCAUGGCCCUUACGUCUAGGGCUACACACGUGCUACAAUGGGUGUUACAACGGGUUGCUAAGCCGCGAGGCUGUGCUAAUCCCUUAAAGGCACCCUCAGUUCGGAUUGCAGUCUGAAACUCGACUGCAUGAAGCUGGAAUUGCUAGUAAUCGCGCAUCAGCACGGCGCGGUGAAUACGUUCCCGGGCCUUGUACACACCGCCCGUCAAGCCAUGGAAGCCGGGGGUACCCAAAGCCAGUGACCUAACCGCAAGGGAGGAGCUGUCUAAGGUAAAACCGGUGACUGGGGCU